GCCACUGAGCCUGACUGUAGAGCAGAGGCUAGCCAGUGAGCCAGGCUGAAGGCUGAAGAGCAGUGAUUUUAACCUUUAUUUCUAAGUUCUUCAGUUUUCCUAAAAGACAAAGUUUGCCUUCAUAAAGUAUGGCUUAAAAAGUUCUCCUUGCUCUCUUCUUCUUAUCUCCUUUCCUCUUGCUCUUAUGACACAAUAAUUUCCUUACUCUCAAUGCCUUACUCUCAACGCUAUGCCUUUACUUCUAAGUUCUUCUUGAGUUCUGUUCUCUUCAGUUCAGUUCUGUCUAAAAAGCUUCUCUCUCUUUGUCCUCCGCAUUUGUAUAUCUUUCUGAACACAGCAUCACAUGGUGAAAAGUUCACCACAAGUUUGCACAGGAAUUCAAAUCAUAAGUUGGGUAAUCAGUUUAUGACAGGGAAUGUUUACAUGCACAUCCAUGAAGAGUAAUCAUCAGGAUAAACCAUCACCAUCUGUCACUAGCUCUGCACGUUCAUGGAGAGUUAAAAGCUGUAAUUUUUAUGAGAAAAGAAUAAGUGAAAUUACAUAUAGGCAAAUCCAGUCAAUUAUGUUAAGUCCUUGUACCUAUAGUAAAUCAUUAGUUCUCUUUUUAUGAACUUUGGUUAAUUGGUUUAUACCCUCUUAGGAUGGGCUAUAAUUUGUAGAUGCCUGCUUGGUAUUGCAGAAGCGAUUCACUCAUGACACUUUAAGAAUGGCAGGGUUCUCAAUGCAAUUUUGAUUACCAGAGAAACAUAAUAGCAGUCCUAUUUUAAAAACUUAAAAUUACUAAUCUAAUUUUAGGAAUUCUUAUAGAACCAUCAUUAAGAAUUAAGAAAUCAUCUAUUUGUCUGUACAUCAUCACGCCAAGACAAUACAUCUUCAUUGCUCUGUGGUGAUCUGCUCAAAAGAGUGGGGUAAAGAGCAUGACAAAUACAGAGGCAGAUGCUUGCAGCCAACCAUUUGGCUGAGAGCAGGGUCCCCAAUGGAGGAGUAAGAGAAAGGAUUGAGAGAGCUGAAGGGGUGUACAGCCCCAUAAGAACAACAAUAAGAAACACCCAGAGCUCCCAGGACUGAAACCACCAUCCAAUAUGUACACAUGGACAGACAGACCCAUGGCUACAGCUGCAUAUGUAGAAGAGGAUGGCCUUCUUGGGCACAAAUGGGAGGAGAAGCCCUUGGUCUUGUCAAGGCUUGAUGCCCCAGUGUAGGGGAAAUCAGAACAGGGAGGCAGGUAGGCCUGGGUGGUUGGGUGGGUGGUAACACCCUCAUAGUAGAAGGGGGAGGAGGUAUUAUAAGGGGUUUUGUGGAUGGGAAACCAGGAAAAGGGAUAACAUUGGAAAUGUAACAAAAGCCCUCUCUGGGGAUGGACAGCGGCUAAGGUGCUCUGAGCCCCUACUUCCCUGCUGCCUCCCUUUGAUCACGACUGUGGUGCAUGGUGUCAGCCUGGGACUCUCCAUGGGCUGCUCCUGGCACUGGACUUGGCGUUCAUGCCAAAAUAUGAUGAGCAAGGAGCACAUGGUUUGUCCGGAUUCAGAGCUGGGCCAGUGGCCACCAGAUGACAAGCACAGCAUCCUGUACGAUCAUGAGGUCUUUCUGGGCAAGGAGGACUCCAAGACCUUUGAUAGCUAAGCCUGUACGAGAGCAGGAGAGGCUGGGGAAAAUUAUUGACCCCAUUGACAGUGAUGGACGUGGCCUUGUUACUACUGAAGACCUGAAAGUUUGGAUCAAACAGGUACAAAAAAGAUACAUCUACCAUAAUGUGGCUAAACCCUGGAAGGAUUAUGAUAGGGACAUAGUUGUAAAAUCUCCUGGGAAAAAUACAAGCAGGCCACCUAUGGCUACUACCUGGGACACCUUGUUGAUUUCCAAGACGGCUGUGAUGAUCACAACUCUAAAAAGAUGCCUCCACGAGAUGAGAGGAGGUUUAAGGCCUUGACGGUGACCUGACAGCUACUCAGGACUGGUUCAUUGCUUUUCUGCACUAAGAGGAUUUAGAACAUAUGAAGGAGAUUGUAGUUCUGGAAACCCUGGAGGAUAUCGACAAGAACGGGGAUGGUUUUGUGGACUAGGAUGAGUACAUUGUGGACAUCUUUUUCUCAUUAGGACAAUUGCCCUGAGACCGACUGGGUUUUGUCUGGGGAGCAGUUCAAUGAUUUCCCAGAUCUGAACAAGGAUGGGAAGCUGGAGUAGGAUGAGAUUCACCAUUGGAUCCUCCCUCAGGACUAUGACCAUGCACAGGCUGAGGCCCAGCAUCUGGUGUAUGAGUCAGAUAAAAACAAGCAUGAGAUGCUGUCCAUGGAGUAGAUUCUAGACAACUGGACCAUGUUUGUGGGAAGCCAAGCCACCAAUUACUGGGAAGAUCUUACCAAAAAUCAUGAUGAAUUUUGAAAGAAACUCAUCCUCAUGUGGCCAACAGUCACAUGCUUUCUACGGAUGUUCUGUGCGAUUGCUAUAUUUGUCAAGUAUAUAGCAGUUGUGUCCCUAAACAAUGAGAAACCUUUCUAAAAAAAUCAUAAAUUGCACCAAACAAUAAUAGUAGGAGAUUUAAACACCCUACUUUCAUCAAUGGACAGCUCAGGGAAACAGAAAUUAAACAGAGACACAGAAAGACUAACAGGUUAUGAAACAAAUGGAUUUAACAUAUAUUUAUAGAACACUCCACCCUAAAACCAAAGGAUAUACCUUCUUCUCAGCAUCCCAUGGUACCUUCUCCAAAAUUGACCAUAUAAUCGGUCACAAAAGAAGCCUCAACAGGUACAGGAAGAUAGAAAUAAUCCCAUGCAUCCUUUCAAAAAACCACGGACUAAGGCUGCUGAUCAGUAACAACAAAUAGGACAGAAAGCCCACAUAUACGUGGAAGUUGAAGUCAAUGACAACUUGGUCAUUGGAGACAUAAGAAAGAAAUUAAAGAUUUCUUAGAAUUUAAUGAAAAUGAAGAUACAACAUACCCAAACUUAUGGGACACAAUAAAAGCAGCGCCAAGAGGAAAACUCAUAGCUCUGUAUGCCUGCAAAAAGAAACAAGAGAGAGCAUAUCUCAGCAGCUUGACAGCACACCUCAAAGCUCUAGAAAACAAUUAAAUAAACCCUAGAGGAGUGGAAGGCAGGAAAUAAUCAAACUCAGGGCUGAAAUCAAACAAGAAGAAACAAAACCGAGUAUCAAAAGAAUCAGCAAACCCAGGAACUGGUUCUUUGAGAAAAUCAACAAGAUAAAUAAACACUUAGCCAUACUAACCAGAGGUCACAGAGAAUAUAUCCAAAUUAAUAAAAUCAGAAAUAAAAGGGAGACAUAACAACAAAUUCUGAAGAAAUUAUGAAGAUCAUCAGAUCCUACUAUAAAAACAUAUAUUCAACAAAACUGGAAAAUGUGGAGGAAAUGGACAAUUUUCUAUACAGAUACCAGGUACCACAGUUAAAUCAGGAACAAAUAAACCAUCUAAACAACCCCAUAACUCCUAAAGAAAUAGAAACUGUUAUUAAACAUCUCCCAUCCAAAAGGAGCCCAGAACCAGAUGGAUUUAGUGCAGAAUUCUAUCAGACCUUCAUAGAAGACUUCAUACUAAUACUGCCCAAAUUAUUCCGCAAAAUAGAAACAGACAGAGCACUACCAAAUUCCUUCUAUAAAGCCACAAUUACUCUUAUACCUAAACAACACAAAGAUACAACAAAGAUAGAGUAAUUCAGACCAAUUUGAUUUAUGAAUAUUGAUGAAAAAAAUGCUCAAUAAAAUUCUUGCAAACUGAGUCCAAGAACACAUCCAAACAAUCAUCCAUCAUGAUCAAGUAGGCCUCAUGGCAAGGAUGCAGGGAUGGUUUAAUAUACAGAAAUCCAUCAACAAAAUUCACCAUAUAAACAAACUCAAAGGAAAAAAACCCACAUGAUCAUUUCAUUAGAUGCUGAGAAAUCAUUUGACAAAAUUCAGUAACCUUUCAUUAAUAAAGUCCUGGAAAGAUCAGGAAUCAAGGCCCAUAUCUAAAUAUAGGAAAAGGCAAAAUACAUCCAACCAGUAGCUAAUAUCAAACUAAACUGAGAAAAUUGAAGGAAUCCCACUAAAAUCAGGGACUAGACAAGGCUGCCCACUCUUUCCUUACUUUUUCAAUAUGGUACUUAAAGUCCUAGCCAUAGCAAUCAAACAAUGAAAGUAGGUCAAAGGGAUAAAAAUUAGAAGGGAUGAAGUCAAAAUACUAAAAUUUGAAGAUGAUAUGAUAGUCUACUUAAGCAACACCAAAAUUCCACCAGAGAACUACUUAACCUGAUCAACAAUUUCAGCAAACUGUCCGGGUAUAAAAUUAACUCAAACAAUUCAGUAGUCUUCCUCUACUCAAAGGGUAAACAGGCUGAGAAAGAAAUUAGGGAAAUGACACCCUUCACAAUAGUCCCAAAUAAUAUAAAAUAACUUGCUGUUACUUGAACCAAGCAAGUAAAAAAAUCUGUAUGACAAGAACUUCAAAUCUCUGAAGAAAUUGAAGAAGAUCUCAGAAGAUGGAAAGAUCUCCCAUGCUCAUAGAUUGGCAGGAUGAAUAUGGUAAAAAAUGGCCAUUUUGCCAAAAGCAAUCUACAGAUUCAAUGCCAUCACCAUCAAUAUUCCUACUCAAUUCUUUAUAAAGGUAGAAAGUGCAAUUUGCCGUCAUUUGAUAUAACAUAAAACCCAGGAUAGCAAAACUAUACUCAACAAUAAAAGAACUUCUGGGGGAAUCACCAUCUCUGACCUCAAGCAGUAUUACAGAGCAAAAGUUUGUAUGGUAUUGGCAUACAGACAGGCAGCUCAGUGGAACAUAAUUGAAGACACAGAAAUGAACACACACCCCUAUGGUCAUUUGAUCUUUGACAAAGGAGGUAAAACAUCCAAUUGAAGAAACAUAGCAUUUUUAACAAAUGGUGCUGGAUCAAGUGGAGGUAAGCAUGUAGGAGAAUGCAAGUUGACCCAUUCUUCUUGCCCUGGACAAAGAUUAAGUCCAAGUGGAUCAAGGACCUCCACAUCAAACCAGAUACACUGAAUGUAAUAGAUAAAAAGUAGGGAAGAGUCUCGAAGACAUGAGCACUAAGGAGAUAUGGAGGCCAAAUCUAAAGCAGAGACUGAAGGAAAAGCCAUUCAGAGUCUGCCCCACAUGUGGCCCAUAUAUAUACAGCCACCAAAACUAGGUAAGAUUGAUGAAGCUAAAAAGUGCUUACUGAAAGGGACUGGAUAUGCAUCUCCCCUGAGAGACACAUCCAGGGCAUGUCAAAUAAAGAGGUCAUUGCUAGCAGUAAACUACUGAACUGAGAACAGGACGCCCUUUAUGGGAAUUAGAAGAAGGAUUCAAAGAGUUGAAGGGCUUGCAACCCCAUAAGAACAGCAAUGCCAACCAAAUAAACCACUAGCAAAAGACUAUACGUGGACUGACCCAGGGGUCCAACUGCAUAUGUAGAAGAGAAUAGCCUUGUUGGGGCACCUGUGGAAGUGGAAGCCCUUGUUCUUAACAAGGUUGGACCCUCAGUGCAGGGGAAUGUCCGGGAAGGGGUUUCAAGGGGCGUGGAUUGGGGGACCGUACAUAUGGGGAAGUGUCCAGGGAGGGUGGCUUAUGGACCAAAAACUGGGAAAGGGAAUAAGGUUUGAAAUGUAAAUAAAAAGUAUAUAUCUAUUAAACCAAAAUUUUAAUAAAUGAUAAUAAUAGUAAGAAAUAAUCAAGAAAAAAAAGAAAAUGUGAAUAAGAAAGAAAUUUUAGGACUUGGAAAAAGAUGAAUGCCAGGUAUUUGAAAAACUGUAUGACCAUGGUAAACACUUUAAUAUAUGUGAGAAAUUUUUUACAUGUUACUGAAUUACAUCUUUUUUUUAAAUAGUGAAUGGAAAUACAGUCCCUUCCUGGGUGUGAGGCUGGGUAUCCAGAUGUAGUGGAAUUCAUUAUUUGUUGGUCCUGAACCUUUGAGUCUGCUUCUAACUCAGCUUAUGCCAAGGAAACUAGGCCAAGGUGAUGUCUAAGCCAUUGACCAAACUAUCUGGACUAACAAUCACAGGUGAAAUUCCACCUUGUAAAUGGGAGGAGAGGAAUAAAAGAUACCUUUAAGGAUUUAAAAAAGAUGAAAUAUACCCAAAAAAAUCCAAUAAAAAAGUUUAAAAUAAAAAUAACGUAGGAAAUACAAAAUACUGGGGUGCCAUUCCAGAAUCAUGAUGUGUUUCUUCUUUGAUAGCUUACAGGUUAAUUUACUUCUCUAUGACUGUUUUCUUAUUUGAAAGUAAGUAAUGGCAUCAUCUGUGGAGUGAUGGUGAGAACAAAAGCUUUGCCGAACUUGAAUAAUCGAUCCCUCCUGAGCAUGUGCUUAACAUUCUAAGCACAGGGAAAUUUCCUGAGGGGAUUAAAGAACAAAAUCUAAACAUAAAACAGGAACAACAACGAUGUAAAAACAUUCUGCAUGCUCGGUAUGAAGACAUGUUACAACUUUAAUCAGCUUUGUAGGUAUUUCUAAUAAACAUCCAAAGAAACAAAAAUCCCAUCACAGUCCUUGCAGUUGCAUCCAACAAAGAGAGAGCUGUGAGGUAGUGUGUGCUGCUUCUUUCCCCAGAUACCCCUGGGCCUCAGGCCUGCAUCCAGUGACCUGGACCUAAGAGCAGCCAGGUUGAAAUUCCUGCUGCCAUGGCAGGAUUCUGCAGGAACAUUUCCCUUUGACAAUAAGGAACCUGUGUGGAGGAGACCUCUUGGUGAGUCCUCAUGGACUCUACAUGUCCUAUUCUACAGGGAGAAGCCCUGCCAGGUCUUUGGCAAGGCCAGCCAGUUGUUUGGGUAAGUCUCUGGUCCUGUGGCAGAGGGCUAGGAAUGGCAGAAAGAAUGGCAGCUCCACUGAGAGCAAAGGUUAACCCUUCUAGGCCUAUGACCUCCUAAUUAAUUUAUCUUUUCACCUGAUGCCCUAUUCACAUUUUCUUACUAUCAUACAACUGUGAUCUUGAUGAGCAGCUGGGCUCUUAUUUUCUUAAUCAGUUCUUUGUUGUCACAGACGUUUUUAACUUACUCCAACCCAUGAGACUUAUUCACACCUUCUGUAUGCAGUAGGACCCUUGGUGGGCUGUCAUCUCAAAAAUAGAAGGUUCAGUAAUCCAAAAGAUUGGACUCCAAUUUACCUCAGGCCAGGUAAGAAGUCAGCCACCAUUAGUAAAAGAGAAAGGGAAAAAUUACAUAGGAAAAACAAGUGGCUUAAUUAGAAGAGAUCCUCAACUUCUAAGGGGUGCACAUCUGCACCCCUCUCUUCUGAGCUUUGUAAAGUGAUGUUGUAUAACUCUAGAUGGUAGUAAAAGGCAGAGCUCUUCACAGGAAGGUCAAACAUGAUUUUCACUCUUACAUCUGUGAGGUGGGGUGGCAUUAUAGCACACAUUCAGGUAGAAUUAUAACACCAAGGAUAAGAAGACAGAAUCCAUAUAUCACAAUGCCAAAUAGACUCCCUCCUCAACUUAUGGACCCAUUAAAAUUGAGGUUCAACCUGAACUGAGGCCAUUCCACUCCCUUCCCAUCCUCCUGAUUCUUAUGUUUAGUAGGAGUAAAGGAUCAUGGUGCAGCCCCCAAUAUUCUCAUGACUAGACUUGCCUAUUCAGGACGAAUGAUAUUGGAGAAGUGAUGGCUAUAUAGUUACAAUGUAGUAACACAAGCUCCAAGUUGACAUUUGCUCACUGACGUCCAAUUUAAUUGUCUUGUUAUAUUUGAGAAAGGGAGGAUGCCCUACUUAAUAUAUAAAAGGGAAAGAAAUUUAUUAUUUUAUAUAUGCCCUGUAGUUGGUCUCUAUGUUCCCAAGAAAAAGGAGUUUUUAUUGCAAAAAAAAUAGGAUUAUACACCAUUGAUUUUGUGAAAUACAUGGAUAUGUAAUUGGAAACAAUGUCAGCUGUCAAGGACUGCACACUAAUCAACUAUUUCUCGGUUUUAUACACUCAGAGAUAUAGAAGAAACAUAUUGGCCUCCACAAAAAGGGAAAAGCUUAAGAAUCGAAAUGUAUGUCACAUGCAUUGUCUCGGGUAGUAGAUUUACUUUUAAGAAAAAACUGCCCCCUCCUUGGCCCCUAGAGAUUUGGGUGCUAAGAAAAAUCUGUUCUCCAAUUCAGGGUUGUAAGCAACUCUCCCCAGCAAAAGCAUUGUUGACUUCUAAUGAAGCAGAGAGACAUAUCUAGCUUUGAAACAGAGGUUGCCAAAUGGUAUUCCCAGUGAUACAUGGGAGACUGGAGGAAAGGGUCCCCACAGAAAUUCAUCACUUUGUGGAGAGCUGGUUAGUAGGUAGGCCAUAGAACUUUCCAAUGACAUCAUCAGUAAGCCCUUCACUGGACACUCUAUUGUAUCUAAGAGAUCCCUAGAAUCUUCAGUGAUGUCACCAGUGUUGUGGUGAAACCAACUGCCUUUGGGAUAUUACUUCAGUUCCCUUUGGGUUCACAAGCAGGCAUGUUUCGCCAGCUGCUCAGGCUAUUUCGGAAGGAAAGGGGAGAUCAAGGAGAGACCACACCAGGUCAGAGGGAAGCUGACCCCCUCUCUAGUGAAACAGGAAGGAGGAAAUCAUUCUGUGGAAGGCUUGGUUUUGGUAGGAAGGCAUCAUCCGAAAGUGUCAUCAGCAAGCAAGAGGAGCUUCUAAAGGAACUGGAGGAACUCAAAUUUGAAAUCCAGAAGUGUCAAUUCGAGAGGGAUGAACUUUACCAAAUCCUGGACCUUUAUAUCUAUGAUGAUUGGGACCACAGGUAGUCAUUAUGCCCAGUAACCUGUUCACAGUCUUGUGCUCUCUUUCUGCUAACCCGAUAUUUCCUCAUAGCACGAGAGAGUUUCACCUCUCAUCCUGGAUUUGAAGGAGCCUUGGCAGGCAUUACCUUUGAGAUAAGCUAGGUGCUGUGUGUGUUUAGGGUUAACCUUUUUGUACUUGACCCUGAGCUCCUUGGAUUAGCAUUGGUUCUGUCAGCAGCUGGAAGGACCUGGUCACACUUGCUGCAACUGUGUGUGUGAAUGAAAUGCCUGCACGGCAUCACUCUUUUCCUCUGAAUUUAUUCUCUAUACACUGAUUCUAUGGCACCUCCAUGCAUGUAGUUGGCAUUCUAAAUGUGUUUGGAUAUGGGUUGGUAUGUAUGUAUGUGGAAGUACAUGUGGUGUUUUACUCAGGGUCAGGACGUCUGGGACCUUUGAUGGGGUCUGAGGAUUUGGUUGAUCAACAGUUUGCAGGUCAUGAUAGUGAUGAGUAUAUGGAGGCCCACACUGAUCAACAGAGCACUUUGCUCCUUCUGUAUACCUUGGUGGCACACAGGACUCUCCCGAGGGGAGGAGGUGCUAUAAAUCCUCUUCCCUGUCAAACUUAGUUAUGCCCUCUGAGAAUUCAUGUAACGACAGAAACCAAGGAUUGAGUAUACCUGCUUUCAAAACAAGAGAAAUGUCAUCACAGCUUUCUCUUGGGCCCAAAGCUGUAGCACAGACUGGAGGAAUCUUCUUCCUGAACUAGUCAAUUCCAUCAUGCUCACCUGGCCAGCUCUUGAAGGUCAGGUCCCUCCAAUUGGUACCGUGGCUCUGUUGUCCUGUGCCCAGGAUAAUAAGUUUAAUCAGUACAACUACUUCAAAGGAGCAAGAAUGUGCUAUAUACUGGGUUUAGGUAAUUGAGAGAACAGUCUGAUUUCACCUAAUUUUUUUUACCUGCUUUGAUCGUUAGUUUUUUAUUUUUUUAACUAUCCAGUGAUGUUUUAUUGUGACCUAGAAAGGGUCACUGUGGGAAUAAAUUCUUGACAGUUCUUAUUCCAAACAGGCAGGUCUCAGGCUCUGCCCACUCCUAUAUAAUAAGUCUUUGCAGAACCAUAUCUCCCCAGGCUUUUAAGGAGUCCUUAUUUCAAAACAAAAUUUGCUUAUUUACAUGGAAAUAUUUUCUGUGGAUUGAGUCUCACUGUUGUGUUUUGGUCUGGUUUUUGAAUUUGCCAAUUUCUUCCCUUCUACCAUUCCUUGAAUUUGAACUUUUUUAUUAUAUAUUUUUUAUUUACAUUUCUCCUAAUUCUGAAAUCGUGAGUUCAAAACAUUAUUUGUUCCUUUGGCCAUGACCUAACCCAGGCUGGAUGUCGAAUUGCCAGUCCUUCAAUCCGAACAUGAGAUGAGAAUAAUGGCUAUGCAAAUGAUGACCAACUCAAUAAGUGAUGCCAUAGAGAGGUACAAGGAGCUCAUACAAGUGAACAGUUCCUACCGCGUGAGGCACUCCCAGCUCCUGCGUGAACAAGCUCAAUUAAAGAACAAUAUACAGAUUUUGCUGAAUGAGAAGAGAAAACUGCUGGUGGAGCAGACUGAACUGCCAGCAUCCUCUGUGGAGGCAAAGAGGCUCUGUGAAGAGGCCAGAAUGAACAUCUGUGACCCCAGUGCCAAGCAACAGCAGGUAGGGUUAGGACUCAGGGUCAGGCUGUCCUCAUGUCUUACCAUAAACAUAGACAACCAAUGUAGCUGUCUAUUGAGGGAUCUAUGUCCUGACCUAGGUCUCAUCCAAGUGUUCAUUUAUGUGAUGGUUUACUAGGCUUUCUGUGGAGAUAGCCCCUCUUCAAGAAACUGCGUGUUUGGAAAGCAAAUGCUCCUGCUCUUCGAGAAUCUGCAGUUUAUUAAGUGAGAUGGGUUGAUCACACAUCACAGCACUACAUGCCAUAUGUGUAGAGGGUGCUAUGUGGGAGCCCGUCUUUAGACUAGAGCAGGGCUUUGAAGGAUGAAGCAAAAGCCCAGAGCCCAUUUUCUUUGCAGGGGUCCUGUGAGAUUCCAGGAACUAAAUAGUUUAGAAGGAGGAGAGCCUGGUGGAAAUGCCAAAGAAAUGGUUCUCACUGUCAUCUUUUGGUGGAUUUGUUCUUUCUCCACCAUUUUCCCUGUAUAUCAAGACCAUCUCUUCAUGCUUCCUAAAUCAUGGUACCUGACAGAGAAAGAGUAGCAGCAUGUCAGUCCUGUUUUGUUCGAGUGUUGCUGGAGAGUUCAUAUCUUGACAUUAUACUCUGUAGAUGCUUGGAAAAGCAGGGAUGUGGAAAGGUGUUCUCAAAACCUGACAAUUGGCAUGAGAGAUUUGAGACUUCAAGAACAGAGUUAUCUACCCCCAUUCUCAUCAAGAAGAGUGCUAUCUAGGCCUUUUUGUUCCUCUCAGGAGAAAUGGCUGAGUAGUGAUUCUCUCUUAAAAUACCUGCUUUGAAUAGUCUAUAUUAUGUUGUUCCUCCAAUAUGAUGGGAUCUACAUUGUUUUCUGCCGACUUGCGAUUUUUGGUGUGUGUGUGUGUGUGUGUGUGUGUGUGUGUCUGUUUGUGCUUGUUUGUGUGUGUGUCUGUAUGGGUGUGUGAUAGAGUAUGUGUGUGUGAGUGGGUGUAUGUUGUGAGUGUGUGUAUGUGUGUAUGUGUGUGUGAGUGUGUGUGAGUGUGUCUGUGAGUGUGUAUUAGGGUGUUUAUAUGUGACUCUGUGUGUGUGUGUGUGAGUGUGUGUAUGUGUGUGUGUGUGUGUGUGUGUGUCUGUUUGUGUGUACCAGCUGUGGCUCAGCAUGUUUAUGCUCAUGUUGUGGGUUUAAUUCUGUAUGAUUUUCCAAGUGUUUCUAGUAUGGGUUCUUUUGUGUGUGUGUGUGUGUGUGUGUGUGUGUGUGUGUGUGUGUGUGUGUGUGUAUGUAUGUGUGUGUGUGUGUUUCCCUGUGCAUAAUUGCACAGCUGAGUCUCUAUUGCCCUGUUUCAUGAGAAAAAGAAUCUAAGAGUUCAAUUUGCCUCCAUGAAUAUCAAAUAUAGCACCCCAAUCACUUGGAAUCUCCACCUACCUCUGUACAGCAAAAGAACCCAAAACACGUGUAAAGUUAGAUUUUCAAGUGAUUAGGGAAAAAUGACUGGUCUGCAUCGAAAUCCUUUGGAGCACAUCAAAGGAAUGGAGUACAUGGAGGUAAGGGGGGCUGCUUUUUAAAAUCCAUUGAUUUAUGAUCCUUCUCUGUUCUUUGUGAAUGGUGAAAGCCCACUGGAAGGUUGUGUCACUCACUGUGUCUUCUCCAAGGUUGCUUUCCACAUUGCCUGCUACCAUUUCUUUCCAGCUACCUUGGCACACUACAGUUUCUGCUGGGAGUUUGGCUUGGAUUUUAUUCAUUGAGAAUUUGAGUUGCUUGGAGUUGUAUUGUCAUCCAGCAAAAGCCUCAUAGCUAUGCUGUGGUGCAAGAACAGGGCAGUUUCAGGAGCCCCUUUAGGUGCACAGAUAAUCUAAAGCGCUCCCCUAUGUUAUCUGUGUAGCAUUCUGCAAGUGCUGUCAAUCAACAUCAUUUUCUCUCAGUUAAUUUCAGCCUCAAUGGAGUUAGGAGAAAUGAUGAAAUUCAGACGGGUCUGUUAGUGGACGAUCAGAAAGGCCUGUGAGAAGCCAUGUUCUUUAAGUGGAACAGAAGUCUUAGUUGACCCGGAGAUCCCAGAGAAAAGAAUAGGUGUGCAACUAGAGCACAUCUGGGUUGUAGUGGUCCAAGGAGGGAAACUGUAUGAGAGGUUGGAGCCUUUCAAUGGAUUAUGACUCAGUGUGAGAUAAUCCAUGUAAGCAUUUAUUUAUUUACUCCAAAUAUCUGUGACACAAUCACAUAAUAGGUAGAAACAUUGUUCAUUUGGAUCCUGGUUAUGGAGAUUUCCUAUGAUUCUGGGGGCAUAGCUUUGGGCAUGAAGUCACUCAGGCUAUGGUAAAGAGAGCUCCUAUUAGAAGAAGCUGCACUCUAUGGGGAAAGUCUGAAACAGUGAACAAGAACAGGAGUCUAGUCCACCACCAACAUAUGAUCAUGUGCUGGGAAACAAGACUGCUCUACACAGCCUUGGGAACUUGCUAAGCCAGAUUGGUAAUAGGGAAAGAACACUGAUUCUAUGUCGGCUUAUGGGAGGACAGCACAUCACUGACUGAGCUGUCUAUAGGCUAUGACCACUAUGUUCAUAACCCACUCAACAUUUGUUUUCAGGCCUGCAGAAUAUCCUGGGGAAUCAUUAUAUUAAACAUUAAAAGGGAAAGUAAACACUGCAAUGUACUAUGUUUAUAUUGUGUAAACACAAAUGGCUUGUGUGUUUGCGAGUUAGUAUUAGUGUGUCUAUGUGUCUGUGUGUAUGUUUGUGUGUGCACACAUGCAUGCAUGCUUCCAUUGACAGUACACUCAUCUGAUGACCAGGAUAAGGAAGGAUUAGAGGAAAGAAUGCAGGACAUUCUGAAGCAGAAAGAACCGAUCAACCAGGAAAGUGGCUUGGGAGGAACAUUGUAGAAGCAUUCUGAUAUUUUUGAGAUCAGGCAGGAACACAGACUGGCAGAAGCCAAUUGGAUUUCCUGUCCCUAUAUAACUAUCCUUUUUGGAUGGCUGAUCAUUGACAAGGUUUUUACCUUCAGUCACCUAAAGAACUACCCAGAGUAUUGUUCUGGUACAGUUUAUGUGAAUUUUGUCCAUGACAGGAUAUGUAUAAUCCUCAGGAUUUCUUUGUAUUUUGUACUUCAUUCUUCCUGUUAACUCUCUGAUAAGAUCUGAGAACAUUUUCUCUUCUGUCGUCUCACAAAUUGCAUUACAAUAAGCAUAGUCUUACAGGGGUGCUGUUAUGUAUCUCCAUCACCAUAAACUUUACUGUUCCUUGUGUAUGCUGUGAGCACAUUCUCAGUGAUUACAGGAUCUGUGCAGUGAGCAUGAAUUUGAAAUGAGAUGGCUUCUCUGUGUAUUUGCAGAUUCAGUGGUUACAAAUUGAACCUAGGCAGGUUCCUACAGUGCUAACAUAAUCAGAACUUUCACCACAUUUCCGGACAUGUUCUCCAGAAGGAAUCCACAUGGUAUUCUAGGUUGCUCAUACCAUUCUUGAACUCAGAUUCAGACCCAGCUACAAUGUUAUUAUUCAAUAUAAUAAACCUGGACCAGUGACAAAAUAUGCUCAUUUUUCUCUUAAUCCCAGUACAGUGCAUAUUCCACAGUUCAAAUUCUAGCAGUUUGAAAAGCUGAGAUAUAAAUCCAAGCCCAGGUACUCUAUGACACUUGGGGAUGCAGGGACUGACCUCAGCUGACAGGUCAUGCUGGAUUGUCCAACUGAACAGAGCUGAUGUAAGAGGGAGAGCUGAAUUGACAACCACUCACUAAACCUUUAUUCCCUUGCUCUGCUAGGUCUGAAAUUCUCCAGCAGAAACUCGAACAUGACACAGACCAGGACAAGAUCUCCCUUGGAGAGAAGAGCUACAGGAGGAGAACUAAGUGUGCACAGCAAAUACACCACUAUUGUAUCUCAUCUGUAAUGUCCAUAGCAAUUGUGGACUGCAUUUUCCUCCUUUAGUUUACAUUCUUUGGAUUGAAUAGGCCUUACUUUCACCUCAGCUCUCUCCAGCAAGUGUACACUUUUGGAGGAACUCAGAGAAGUGUUGAUGCACAUCAGUCAAGAGCUGCUGGUCAUCCAGAAAGACUCUGCACGUUUAAAUUUGUACCUGUCCUGAUGGGUCAUCCAGAAGAGUUUCAUGGAGAUCAGGUCACAACAUUGGACAGACUAUGAAACAAAGUCUGUAAUAUCAUUUAUACUCAGUAUUGGUAAGCUUUUUCCUUAAUACCCCCACUGCAAGCAAACAGACCUACUUCCACUUCUCUUGAAAAUAUUAUUACCAUCAGUAACUGCUUGUCUACUAUGUCUCCAAGGCAAGCCACAGGCUAUAAGUCUAUUCUGCAAAAGGAGCAGCAAAAGAAUGCUUAGCGCAAUUCCUCUAUUUAAAGUUUGCUUGAGUUUUGAUUAUUUUGGUUAUUUGGUUUUCCUUCUAUUCAUUAGAAGAUUUGUUAAUUAUGUGUUGUUGUUGUUUUGUUCAUUUGCUUUUCUAUUUUGAUAAGGAUAUAGACUGUAUAUAUUGACUACCUGCAUCUGGUUACUAUCAAGUAAAUUGGAUGUAUUCUGGUAAAUAAAGGAGUUAUCUCAAACUCUUCACUCUUAAGAACCUUCUUUAUUGAUCACUAAUGUAAACAUCUGAAGUCCCACAGCUAUCAGGGAGGGAUCGAUCUCUGCAUUCUCAUGGGCACUGUGCAUCAGUCUUACUGAGAUUCAAAGGCAAUUAUACAGUCACUGUUCACUGUGUUUCCAACUCUGUGAAUUUCCAGUUCAUCAUGCAUAUCGUACCCACUGUGUAUGCUUGCUGUCAAAUAUAUAGUUACCUCUAAAUUAUACUCUGUGGAUGAGCAUGUUGAACAAAUUAAUGGGAUAAACAUUAAUUUUUCUGUAAUAUCUCCUAGGACAUAAAAACAUGGUAUAAGGGAUUUUAAAGCAGUCGGAAAUCCUGCACCCAAAUCCCAG